CAAUAAGAUCUCAGAAAUGGUCAUCACGCUGUUGGCCUCAGUCUGGCCAAGUCUUAGGAAAAGAAGAUUCUCAGAAGUGGAAUUUCUCAAAAGCAUGGGCAUUAUAAAGCAGAUCUACACAUGCUGAGUUGCAGGAACUGCCUUUAAAGGACUUCACAGAUGCCUUAUUAUAUCAAACCCUUAUGUAUGGCUAACUAUUACAAGAUAUCUCCAAUGGUACACACACCCACGGACACUCUCAUGUACAGAAGGAAAG